rnacentral:sRNA from 1 species
GACAUGUUUUAGACUAGUUUGUCUUCAAACUUGUUAUGUAGUUGGUGAUAACCUUGAACCUCUGAUUCUCCUGCACUCCAUCCAUAUGAUGGGAUUACUGGUGUACAGUGCAAUACCUGACUUAUACGGAGCUGGGGUCAAACCCAGGGCUUCAUGCAUACUCCGUUCUAUCAGCUGAACUAUAUCCCCAUCCAAAAAUAUAAGAUCUAAAUAUAUAUAUUAAGAUCUGGGGGUUCCAGCAUGCUUCACUGUAGUUGUUUCCAAGACCCUUCCAUGGGGUUCUAACCUGAGGUAUCUUGGCCUCAAGAGGUCCACAGAAUUGAAGGUCCUUUCUCUAACCCGCUAGUCCCUGCAAACCUAGCCAUUCCUCCAUGACGAAUGUAAAUAACAAAAUGCAAUGUCGCUUGCAGUACCUGCUACUGCUACUAGAAAAAAAAAAAAAAAACACAGUCUGGGCUUCUUAUCAGCAGCUGCAGAUUUGAUGACCACUGUCCAACAUGGCUGCGAUUGUGAGGCCAGCACAUCAGCUUUUGAAAUGUGUGGAUGAAGUACAAAUUUCUCCCGUCACACACUUGCUUCCCCUAUCUUCUCACAGGAAGAUACUUCAGUGUACUUAGCGCCCUUUGUCAUCUUAUUGAUUUGUAUUUUCCAAUUUGAAAAGCAACCGGAUCCGUUGGCUUUACCAUCUUGACAAGGGGACCUUUCUGCUCAUGUCGUGUCCAAGUGGAUGAUGCAAGACCAUUUCCCUAUUUCAAGAACCUUGAGCACAUAAAUAAGAUCCCUUUCACUAUAGAGCCAACCAAGGUAACAGUCACAGGUUCCAAAGGUCACAAUGAAGGUCUCUUGGGAGACCAUUAACCCCUUCAGACAUUUGAGGAAACAUGCUUCAUAUGUCAAGACAAUACACUAGUUUUGUAAUAAAGGAAAGUACACAGAUGGGAGAGACUUGGUGGGCUCUGACCUCAGAGUUGAAGCCCACACUGUCAGCAUGGGCAGAAGUAGGAUCAUUCCUCUUGCCAACCAGACUCUACCAGCAGCCACUCCAGAUCAGAUGACAGCUCUACCCAAGUCCAUGGAACCAAACCACUGUGAGAUAAACUUGUAAGCCAAAA